CCUACGCGAGGCAGCAGUAGGGAAUAUUGGGCAAUGGAUGCAAGUCUGACCCAGCCAUGCCGCGUGCCGGAUGAAGGCCCUCAGGGUUGUAAACGGCUGUAUUCGGAAGAAGAGCAGGGAUGCGUCCUUGUGUGACGGUACCGAAUA
rnacentral:rRNA from 1 species